rnacentral:rRNA from 1 species
UAAUGCAGUCGACGAACUCUGGUAUUGAUUGGUGCUUGCAUCAUGAUUUACAUUUGAGUGAGUGGCGAACUGGUGAGUAACACGUGGGAAACCUGCCCAGAAGCGGGGGAUAACACCUGGAAACAGAUGCUAAUACCGCAUAACAACUUGGACCGCAUGGUCCGAGUUUGAAAGAUGGCUUCGGCUAUCACUUUUGGAUGGUCCCGCGGCGUAUUAGCUAGAUGGUGGGGUAACGGCUCACCAUGGCAAUGAUACGUAGCCGACCUGAGAGGGUAAUCGGCCACAUUGGGACUGAGACACGGCCCAAACUCCUACGGGAGGCAGCAGUAGGGAAUCUUCCACAAUGGACGAAAGUCUGAUGGAGCAACGCCGCGUGAGUGAAGAAGGGUUUCGGCUCGUAAAACUCUGUUGUUAAAGAAGAACAUAUCUGAGAGUAACUGUUCAGGUAUUGACGGUAUUUAACCAGAAAGCCACGGCUAACUACGUGCCAGCAGCCGCGGUAAUACGUAGGUGGCAAGCGUUGUCCGGAUUUAUUGGGCGUAAAGCGAGCGCAGGCGGUUUUUUAAGUCUGAUGUGAAAGCCUUCGGCUCAACCGAAGAAGUGCAUCGGAAACUGGGAAACUUGAGUGCAGAAGAGGACAGUGGAACUCCAUGUGUAGCGGUGAAAUGCGUAGAUAUAUGGAAGAACACCAGUGGCGAAGGCGGCUGUCUGGUCUGUAACUGACGCUGAGGCUCGAAAGUAUGGGUAGCAAACAGGAUUAGAUACCCUGGUAGUCCAUACCGUAAACGAUGAAUGCUAAGUGUUGGAGGGUUUCCGCCCUUCAGUGCUGCAGCUAACGCAUUAAGCAUUCCGCCUGGGGAGUACGGCCGCAAGGCUGAAACUCAAAGGAAUUGACGGGGGCCCGCACAAGCGGUGGAGCAUGUGGUUUAAUUCGAAGCUACGCGAAGAACCUUACCAGGUCUUGACAUACUAUGCAAAUCUAAGAGAUUAGACGUUCCCUUCGGGGACAUGGAUACAGGUGGUGCAUGGUUGUCGUCAGCUCGUGUCGUGAGAUGUUGGGUUAAGUCCCGCAACGAGCGCAACCCUUAUUAUCAGUUGCCAGCAUUAAGUUGGGCACUCUGGUGAGACUGCCGGUGACAAACCGGAGGAAGGUGGGGAUGACGUCAAAUCAUCAUGCCCCUUAUGACUUGGGCUACCACGUGCUACAUGGAUGGU